rnacentral:lncRNA from 1 species
UAAUAAUCUAUAUUAAGUAUUGGUAACUUAUAACAUGUCUGUUCUUCGUUUAAAUGCAUGGAAAAGAUAUUUACAAAGGUUACAUAUGUCUUUUACAUUUUCUGUGCCCAACAACUGUAUAAGUUUAAAUGACGAUGGACGCUUAUAAUAAUAUGGCUUAAUAUACUGCCUCCUAAUUUCAUUAUAACAAUCACACUGUAAAAUAAAAUGAAACUCGUCUUCUAUCGUAUUUAAAGUACAGAGAGUGCAUUUUCUUUCUGAUCUAUUAACCCCGUGAUAUCGUCCUGUUUCAACAAAUAAGUUAUGUGAAG